rnacentral:lncRNA from 1 species
GGUGCCAUCUGAAUCUAAUUAUAGUCUGCAAAGGUGUCCAUGAAACUUAAGAGUCGAUGACCCAAAGUCACAUCAACUAGUUGAUCAAUCUUUGGUAAAGAAAAAUUGUGCUUCGAACAAGCAUCGUUCAAAUUUAUGUAGUCGACGUAGAUUCUUCAUUUCUCAUUAGCCUUUCUCACCAUCACUACAUUGGUGAGCCAAUC